rnacentral:rRNA from 1 species
GACGAACGCUGGCGGCGUGCCUAAUACAUGCAAGUCGAGCGAAUGGAAGGGAGCUUGCUCCCUGAAGUUAGCGGCGGACGGGUGAGUAACACGUGGGCAACCUGCCUGUAAGACUGGGAUAACUUCGGGAAACCGGAGCUAAUACCGGAUACGUUCUUUUCUCGCAUGAGGAAAGAUGGAAAGAUGGUUUCGGCUAUCACUUACAGAUGGGCCCGCGGCGCAUUAGCUAGUUGGUGGGGUAAUGGCCCACCAAGGCGACGAUGCGUAGGCGACCUGAGAGGGUGAUCGGCUACACUGGGACUGAGACAAGCCCCAGACUCCUACGGGAGGAAGCAGUAGGGAAUCUUCCGCAAUGGACGAAAGUCUGACGGAGCAACGCCGCGUGAGCGAAGAAGGCCUUCGGGUCGUAAAGCUCUGUUGUCAGGGAAGAACAAGUGCCAGAGUAACUGCUGGCACCUUGACGGUACCUGACCAGAAAGCCACGGCUAACUACGUGCCAGCCGCCGCCGUAA